rnacentral:lncRNA from 1 species
AUGAAUUUCCAACCACGGAGUCUGCGGUGCGAUUGGAUCCGGCUCCUCGUGAGGUCAGAACUGCAGACCUGGGUUGAACUGAACGGACAGGAAGUGGAAACCUCUGGAUUCUUCAGCACGUUGUUGAUCACUCUGGAAAAGACUGGAAAGUUCUUCCCUGCUUGCAAUCCUGCCAUGCAUGGCCUGAAGACGGUGGAGCUGACCUCCAAGCAAAGGCAGAUAGCAACAAGAGCUGAGAUGACGGAAGAGGUUAAUUUCCCCAUACAGAACAAUCCCCCCUCACACACACGACUGUUUUUUUUUUCUUUUUCUUUUUUUGCACAGGCAGCCAUUCAAUAAAUAAUUAAUGCUUGUUAAUCUUUUAGCUAUUUCUCCCGUUGUAAAAAAUUAAUUGGUCUUCCAUCAUCUCUUGCAUUGUAACCUGGAGGUGGUUGGCACGGGUCCACCUCCCUGCCACAGCACGCCCCUGCGGAGGCUCGGGGGGCGUGGCAGGGAUCCUCGGCAGUCAUGCCCAACCUCCAGGUUCCGGGCAUGAAUGGGAGUGCACAGCUGCGUAGCCGGCGCUCCAGGGAGCUGCACACGCACACUGCCUCUUUCUUCUGCGGCACUCGGGGACCUGCACACACUCAUUCUCACAACCCCCAUUUGGCAGGAGUAGUCGAACGCGAUGCAUGCUGGAGUCAGGGGCAGGGGGACAGCCCCCUCUUCCUCCCUGUCCCCGACUAGGGACAUAAAGUGUCCAAGGACCUCUUUCUGGCUUUUGCCACUGAACAGUGCCUCAGUUUACCUGAGGAGGACUAUCAGAUCUACAGGAAGCAAGGGGGGGAGGAUGGGGGGCGGGGGGCAGGCUCCUCAGAUGUCUUGAUUCCUCCAGCCUCAACUACUAGGAUUUUUCCCUCUUGUGAAUUACAAGUGAGUCAUACUGCCUUCUCCAGGAAGUCCUCCUAGAUUAAAGCAGCCAUCCCUGUGUCUGACUUACUCUUGCUCCUUAGUGCCCUCUGGUGGCUCUUCUGUUGUUCUGUUGAUGCCUAGUUUGUCUCCUUAGUGUCCAGAGUUUAAGCCCCAACACAUCAGUAAUCGCAUUUGUCUGUCGCUCCCCCUCUUCGCGGAGGAACGACACAGGACCCUGCGCUGUUCUUUCAUCUGCUCGGCCUCCCCGGGUUUGCUGCUGGUUCUUCCCGGAUUGGCUACCGACCCUCCCACCUCCGUGGAAGGGCGGUUCCCCCUGCCACAUUCCCCACUUCCGCGGGGGAGCGGCACACCGCCGGCCGGCUCUCUCGGGGGCUGCUCAGGUGUUCCUUCAGAUAGAUGUUCCUGGUGCAUGUUGUCUCUCUCCUCC